AUUUUUCUUUUGGAGAUAAAAUUUUAUUUAAGUGUGUUUUUUGUAAACUAGUACAUUAUAGUUGAAGGCAAAGCAAACAAUAAUAGUAUAGUUUUGACCCAGCUUUAGUCAAUAAUAAUGAUGUGAUAAGUUGCAUUGAUUUAGCUAAAGUUAGCCCCUGUUGCUUCCUCUGAUUGAGGAUAAGAAAAAUUCUGGGAUUCCAUCAGGAGUUGAUUGGAGAUUAAUAUUUUUUAUGCUGAUGGGUGAUGGAUAGAGAGAU